GAAGAAGUUACAAAGAGCGAAUGGGGGAUGCCUAGGCUUCUACCGGCGAAGAAGGACGUGGUAAGCUGCGUUAAGCUGCGGGGAUUUGCAAACGAGAGUUGAUCCGCAGAUAUCCGAAUGGGACAACCCAAUAUGUUGAAGACAUAUUACUCCGCGAGGAG
rnacentral:rRNA from 1 species